UGCCAGAUAGCUCAAUGGCGGAGCAUCCGACUGUUAAUCGGAGGGUUGUGGGUUCGACCCCCACUCUGGCAG
rnacentral:tRNA from 4 species